UUAAAAUUGGUUUAGAUCACGUUUAGAUGGCAUUUACGUCGAUCUAAACGUUUAGGAAUCUAAUCUAAACGUGUUCUGAAUAUUUAAUUUGCGUUGAAAAGCUAAAUCAAACAAUUUCCGUACGGAACUAACUAAAUUAAAUUAGUUUCUUACAAAAUGUGUCGGACAUUUUGAAUCUUUCAUUAUGAUUAAAAAUUAGAGUUUCUUAUUAAUCUUAAAUUAUGUAAUAAAGGUUUAGAAAAAAUAAAAGAAAUUUGUUUUUAGUAUUAUAUUGUGGCUAAUGAAGGAGUUAAAAAGUCCUUCCAGUCAGUUGCAACAACAAUUAAAGCAGCAGGAAACAGCCAAGUACACAUGCAAGUGAUUGUUAUGAGGAUUGCAAAACUUUUAAAUAUCAGAAACUGAAGAAAGCAUUCAUAAUCAGCAGAUAUCAAAAAAGCGCAAAAGUACUGAUUUUACAACUCUUUUAAAGUUGAGGAAGAAUUUUAUGUUAAUGUUAAUGCAAAAGGUACGAAUAUUGACAGGUUAGCUAAUUUGAUGUAACAAUAAACAUGAAAUAAAGUUUGUGAAGACCUUAGUGCCAAAAAUACUUGCAUGCAUUAUUCAUGCAUGCUGUAUUAUAAUAUAGCAUGCAUGCAUGAUGCAUUUAAGUAUAAAAAAAAGUUACAAAUGUUUAAUUAUACAAAAAGAUUAUGGUUGUGGUACUGCAAGUAUAUUCAAUUGAUUAUGCAAGUAAGUUGUCCUACUUUACAUCUUUGAAGACUAAUAAUAAUUGUAAUGAACAUAUCUCAGACAAUAUACACUCGGAUUUAUAUUUUAGUUAAACCAUCACCACUUCCACAGCCACCUUGUCUCAAGCAUUAAAUCGCAUUCUAAGAUAUCUUUAUUCAAAUUAAUUGUGACUACUUUACCAAAAGAUUCUAGAAUGGACCAAUCAAGUAAGAUGUCUAAAUCUAUAUCUUUUAUAUAGAACUCCUUUAUUUUUAAAUAAACCUGUUAAUUUUAUGACUUAUGAACAUAUUUAGCAAUGUAAUCCUUUUAGGAUAGACUUUAAAAUCACAUUUACAAUGUUUUAGUAAAUUUUUAUUUAAAAUAACUUUGUAUACAUAAUAUAUCUAUAUAGUUAUUUACAUAAUAGCUAACCCAUCAGUACUUGCAAAGUCUCUUUUUCUGUAAGCCCAAAAAUUGAGUUCUAAAAUACCAUUAUCCACAUAACUACUUUAUCAAAGUACAAUCUAAUGGAUUGAUCAAAAAAGAGAUUGUAUGACUUCGGUAUCCGCAAUACGGUAUCGUGCAUUGAUUUCCAUCUUAGAAUGGCUCUCUUCCGUAUAGGUGGAAAUAGGAUAGGUUGUGUCCUUUUUUCUAGUUCUUAAGACGAAGAGGCUUAAUCGGUUCAAACAAAGAUGACGAUGAUCAUUAUGGAGCCGAUCAUGAUGACGAAUACGAUAAUGCAUAUAAUAAUAAAUAAAAUGUUUUUACUUGUAUCUUAGACUUAUAUAAAUAAAAAAUUAUUUGUUUAA